rnacentral:rRNA from 1 species
AUGGGGUGCCGGAGCUCGCGGCUGGACGCGGCGGACGUGUCCCCCGUGGCCGCGCUCUGCCGGGAGCGCCGCGACCUGAUGCUCGCGGCGGGGGACCGCCGGGCCGCGCUCGCGGCCGCGCACGCCGCCUACUUCCGCGCGCUCCCGCGGGUGGCCGACGCGCUCGCGCGGUUCGCGCACGAGCACCACGCCGCCUCGCCGCCCGGGUCGCCCGUGCUCACGCUGCCCCCCUCCGACCACGACGAGCCCAAGAAGCCCAGCGCCUCCAGCUCCACCCCGCACACCGACUCCGGCCACUCCCACCUCCACUUCCACUCCGACGCCUCCGACUCUGAUCCCGACUCCGCCGACGACUGCGCCUGCGAUGACCCCGGCCACGGGCACGGCGCCCGCGGCAAGAUCCCGCCGCCGACUGGAGUGCCCCAGCAGCGUCACAUCCCAGAGCCUGCAGCGGCCAGGCCGGCCAUGCCAUGGCAGGGCAGGCCCGCCAUGCCCUGGGAUGGCAGGCCCGAGAUGCCGUGGGGCGGCAUGCCCCAAAUGCCGUGGGACGGCAGGCCCGAGAUGCCAUGGGCGCAGGCCUCCUACGACGCCUACCCUUCUUCGUUCCCAAUCCCAGAUGUCGCAAUCCCCAAUGCCUACUACAUGAAGGCCAGUUCGGCGGCGGCGAACACGGUGUACCAAGAACCAUACGGCUACAGCAACUUCGCCACCAAUGUGCCUUCCUACAUGGGGUACGAGUACGGGUACAACAACCCAAUGUACGGCGUGCCGGAGGGGGGCCAGCCGGUGGAGCAUCGUGGCCGGGAGGCGGCGGCUCCGGCUCCGGCGCCGCCGCCGCCGAUGCCGAUGCCGGAAGCGUCGCCGUGGGACUUCUUCAACCCGUUCGACUCCUACAACCAGGACCUUCCACACUACAACCAAAAGGGGUUUGCUCCGGACGGGUCGUUCUCCAGCAGCCCCAACUCCAGCGAGGUGAGGGAGCGGGAGGGGAUCCCGGAGCUGGAGGAGGAGACGGAACACGAGUCGUCGAUGAGGGAGUCGCUCAAGGCGAGGAAGGCGGUGGAGAGCACGGCGUCGAACCGGAUCGACAAUGCGGAUGUCAGUGCCAAGGUGAAGGUGUCAAUGGAGCACACCGAGUGCGAGAUUGACAGCGUCCUCAGUGCUUCGGUUCUCGAGUCGGGGGAGGGGAGCGUGUGUAGCUGUGACUGUGACAAUGCCAAUGCUGGAGGAGGAGCGGCAGCGCCGGUUGGCGAUGAUCCGGCGAAGGUGAAGAGGGUAAGCUCAGAGGAGCACUCAUCCAUGGUGGUCGGUGAGAAUCCGCCGCUGCCGAGCUUUGGGACGAGGGAUGUUGCAGAGGUUGUGGAGGAGAUAAAGGAGCAGUUCAACUCUGCCGUCGCCUGUGGAGAUGAUGUUGCCAGGAUCCUUGAGGUCGGGAGCAUUCGGUACAGACCGCGGAGUAGGAUCUUGAAAUUGAUAGUUUCACGGAUGAUAGGAACCUUUGCCUUGUUGUUCUCUGAACCUUCAGUGAAGAACGCGGAACAAUCAGCAAUUGGUUCAUCCAGCAGAACUCAGAAUUCAAGUAAAAGAAUCGAUGGUACCAGCGGUGUUGAAAUUAAUACCCUGUCUUCUAUAAUGGACAGAUUGUAUGUGUGGGAGAAAAGACUUCAUAAGGAGAUCAUGGAGGAAGAAAAGUUGAGGAUUACAUAUGACAAAGAAUGGAAGCGCCUUAAAGAGUUGGAUGAGAGUGGUGCAGAACCGUAUAAAAUUGAUUCCACACGUGCCUCUAUAAGGACACUGCUCACCAGAAUCAAUAUUGCAAUGAGAUCAGCCAAAGUUAUUUCUAGGAGAAUCCACAUACUACGGGAUGAUGAGCUACAUCCACACCUCGUUAAGCUCAUUCAGGGGCAUGUUAGAAUGUGGAAAUUCAUUCUUGAGUGCCACAGGAAGCAAUUUCAUUCCAUACUUGAAACUAAAUCUCAUAUUCUUAUCCCCAAGAAUGGACCUGAAAGAGAAACAUCCAAGGUUACACUAGAACUAGAAAUGGAACUUCUGAACUGGUGUUCCUGUUUCAGAAAUUGGAUCAUAUCACAAAAGGCGUAUAUCGAAACCCUCAAUGGCUGGUUACUCAAAUGGCUUCCUCAGGAAAAGGAGGAAACAUCCGACGGCAUCGCGCCGUUCUCUCCUGGUAGACUUGGAGCCCCUGGUGUGUUCAUCACAGCAAAUGAUUGGUGUCAGACCAUGAAAAGGAUACCAGAAGGCGCUGUCGUGGAUGCGAUGGAGGCUUUUGCUGUUAAUGUGCACAUAUUAUGGGAGCGACAGGACGAAGCGCAGCAGCAGAAGAUGAAAGCCGACUAUUUAUCUAGAGACUUCUCAAAGAGGCUCAAAUCUCACCAAAAGGAUCAAGCCUUGCCUGGGCAUCCUAAAGCUGGUAAGGCGGUUUUACCCGACGGCGACAAUGGCAGGGCGGUCAAUAGCCGCAUGGUAGCUCUGGAUGCAUUGCACACAAGAUUGGAUGAGCAGAGAGCUAGGCAUGAGGAGACUGUGAGAGAAAUCCAAGAGUCAAGUGCAACUGACCUGAAAGCAGGCCUGGCUCCAAUAUUUGAAGCGUUGGAGUCUUUUACUCAAGAGACACUGAAAGGUUAUGAGAAUGUAAGGGUUCCUGACAGUGGUAUAGCCUGA